rnacentral:rRNA from 1 species
AGAGUUUGAUCAUGGCUCAGAAUCAACGCUGGCGGCGUGCCUAACACAUGCAAGUCGCACGAGAAAGUGGAGCAAUCCAUGAGUAAAGUGGCGCACGGGUGAGUAACACGUGAAUUAUCUACCUCCGAGUGGGGAAUAACUGAGAGAAAUCUUAGCUAAUACCGCAUAACACUUACGAGUCAAAGCAGCAAUGCGCUUGGAGAGGAGUUCGCGGCCGAUUAGUUAGUUGGCGGGGUAAUGGCCCACCAAGACGAUGAUCGGUAUCCGGCCUGAGAGGGCGCACGGACACACUGGAACUGAAACACGGUCCAGACUCCUACGGGAGGCAGCAGUGGGGAAUUUUGCGCAAUGGGGGAAACCCUGACGCAGCAACGCCGCGUGGAGGAUGAAAUAUCUUGGUAUGUAAACUCCUUUCGAUGGGGAAGAUUAUGACGGUACCCAUAGAAGAAGCCCCGGCUAACUUCGUGCCAGCAGCCGCGGUAAUACGAGGGGGGCAAGCGUUGUUCGGAUUUAUUGGGCGUAAAGGGUGCGUAGGCGGUUUGGCAAGUCUGAUGUGAAAUCUAUGGGCUCAACCCAUAGUCUGCAUCAGAAACUGCCGGGCUUGAGUAUGGGAGAGGUGAGUGGAAUUUCCGGUGUAGCGGUGAAAUGCGUAGAUAUCGGAAGGAACACCUGUGGCGAAAGCGGCUCACUGGACCAUAACUGACGCUGAUGCACGAAAGCUAGGGGAGCAAACAGGAUUAGAUACCCUUGUAGUCC